rnacentral:rRNA from 1 species
UACGUAGGGGGCUAGCGUUGUCCGGAAUCAUUGGGCGUAAAGCGCGUGUAGGCGGUCCGGUAAGUCCGCUGUGAAAGUCGGGGGCUCAACCCUCGAAUGCCGGUGGAUACUGUCGGGCUAGAGUACGGAAGAGGAGAGUGGAAUUCCCGGUGUAGCGGUGAAAUGCGCAGAUAUCGGGAAGAACACCCGUGGCGAAGGCGGCUCUCUGGGACGGUACUGACGCUGAGACGCGAAAGCGUGGGGAGCGAA